GGAGAGGUGGCCGAGUGGUUUAAGGCAGCGGUCUUGAAAACCGCCGACGAGCAAUCGUCCGAGAGUUCGAAUCUCUCUCUCUCCG
rnacentral:tRNA from 1 species